rnacentral:rRNA from 1 species
AUGCUAAAUAUAACACCAAGCACAACAGCAGUCACGCUACUGCAUAAGACAACAAAAAUAAACAGAAUUGGAUAUUUUGAAAUGGGCAAUAUCCAUCCUUUAGUAUGUACACACUACCAGAAAAAGUAUCGAGUAAGAAUAGAUCCAUACAGUUGUCCGAGGAACAGUAUUUCUGCCUUCUCAUCUAUAGUUGCCCCCGCGGCUGAAAACCCUACGUAUUGCAGUAUCGACUGCUCAACCAAUCCUGUCAGAGCAAAGCUGUCUAAAGAACGCUCAGGAUACUUUCUUAGCGUUAACCAUGCCUAA